UGCUGAUUCUAAGUUGCCACAUUUUCUUUUGAGAGCUACAAUUUUUGCAUACGGGCAGACUAGUAGUGGUAAGACAUUUACCAUGAGAGGAAUCACCGAAAAUGCAGUGAGGGACAUCUUCAAACACAUGAAGAAUGUACGUCAUAGUUCAUACCAUGACCAUAUAGCCUUUGGAAUCCUCUCGUAGACGCCAGAAAGGGAUUUUUGUUUUGAAAUUUUCUGCUUUGGAGAACUACAAUGAAACUGUUGUUGAUCUUCUGAAACGCAAAUCUGGCUCACUUUGGCUUUUGGAUGACUCUGAGAAGGGCACCAUAGUUGACAAGCCACAGGAAGAAAUUGUUGAGAAGUUGGCGAACAUUUGAGGCACUUAAUUGGAAUUUGUGAAGCUCAAAGGCAAGUGGGAGAAACUGCCCUAAAUGAUAAAAGCUCAAGAUCACAUCAGAUAAUAAGGCUGACCAUAGAAAAUAGCCUCCGGGAGAGUUCAAGGUCUGUGAAGGCUUU